CUAGCGACAGGCUUAACACAUGCAAGUCGAGGGGCAGCACAGGUAGCAAUACCGGGUGGCGACCGGCGCACGGGUGAGUAACGCGUAUGCAACUUACCUAUCAGAGGGGGAUAGCCCGGCGAAAGUCGGAUUAAUACCCCAUAAAACAGGGGCCCCGCAUGGGGAUAUUUGUUAAAGAUUCAUCGCUGAUAGAUAGGCAUGCGUUCCAUUAGGCAGUUGGCGGGGUAACGGCCCACCAAACCGACGAUGGAUAGGGGUUCUGAGAGGAAGGUCCCCCACAUUGGUACUGAGACACGGACCAAACUCCUACGGGAGGCAGCAGUGAGGAAUAUUGGUCAAUGGGCGCGAGCCUGAACCAGCCAAGUCGCGUGAAGGAUGAAGGUUCUAUGGAUUGUAAACUUCUUUUAUAUGGGAAUAAAAUGCGGGACGUGUCCCGUUUUGUAUGUACCGUAUGAAUAAGCAUCGGCUAACUCCGUGCCAGCAGCCGCGGUAAUACGGAGGAUGCGAGCGUUAUCCGGAUUUAUUGGGUUUAAAGGGUGCGUAGGUCGUAAUUUAAGUCAGCGGUGAAAGUUUGUGGCUCAACCAUAAAAUUGCCGUUGAAACUGGAUUACUUGAGUGUGUUUGAGGUAGGCGGAAUGCGUGGUGUAGCGGUGAAAUGCAUAGAUAUCACGCAGAACUCCGAUUGCGAAGGCAGCUUACUAAACCAUAACUGACACUGAAGCACGAAAGCGUGGGGAUCAAACAGGAUUAGAUACCCUGGUAGUCCACGCAGUAAACGAUGAUUACUAGGAGUUUGCGAUACAAUGUAAGCGUCUACAGCGAAAGCGUUAAGUAAUCCACCUGGGGAGUACGCCGGCAACGGUGAAACUCAAAGGAAUUGACGGGGGCCCGCACAAGCGGAGGAACAUGUGGUUUAAUUCGAUGAUACGCGAGGAACCUUACCCGGGUUUGAACGCAUAUGGACCGGGGUGGAAACACCCCUUCUAGCAAUAGCCAUUUGCGAGGUGCUGCAUGGUUGUCGUCAGCUCGUGCCGUGAGGUGUCGGCUUAAGUGCCAUAACGAGCGCAACCCUUAUCACUAGUUACUAACAGGUCGUGCUGAGGACUCUGGUGAGACUGCCAGCGUAAGCUGUGAGGAAGGUGGGGAUGACGUCAAAUCAGCACGGCCCUUACAUCCGGGGCGACACACGUGUUACAAUGGUGGGGACAAAGGGCAGCUACCUGGCGACAGGAUGCCAAUCUCCAAACCCCAUCUCAGUUCGGAUCGAAGUCUGCAACCCGACUUCGUGAAGCUGGAUUCGCUAGUAAUCGCGCAUCAGCCAUGGCGCGGUGAAUACGUUCCCGGGCCUUGUACACCCCGCCCGUCAAGCCAUGGGAGCCGGGGGUACCUGAAGUCCGUAACCGCAAGGAUCGGCCUAGGGUAAAACUGGUGACUGGGGCUAAGUCGUAACAAGGUAGCCGUACCGGAAGGUGCGGCUG
rnacentral:rRNA from 1 species